rnacentral:lncRNA from 1 species
GCAGCCCGGCUCGCAGCGCGCGUCAGCGGGGGCUCCCCGGAGCGAGUCGCUAGGUAACGGGGCUGGCUCCGCAGACGCGGGGCCGGGGAAGCCCGCGCGCGUCAUCAGCAGCGGCGCCGCGGGGCGGGGGGCGCAGAGACCCUCCCCAAUCCCGGCCUGCCACCACCUGGCUCGCGCGCAGCCCCGGCCCAGAAUGCCUUAACCUGCGCCGAUUGCUGCCGCCGAGGUGCCCCUCCCCUGUAGGGACCCCGACGCCGCCAGCCCCUUCCUCCUUUCCCGCAGGUGCGCACUGCUGUGCUUGCGGCCGGGUGGGCGCCCCGCCGCUGCGGUCGCGGUCGCCGCUGGUAAGCUGCGCUCUGGGGCUUGGGGCAGGAAGCAGUGGGGGGCGCUCGAAGAGCAGGGCAGCUACGGCCACCGUGGCCGCCGGACCGGCCAUGUGCUAAAGUUUCUGGGGCUCGGCGCCCCGCUGGGCGCGCAGCGCGGGGAGCAGACGCGCCGUGGGUGGGGCAGCGCGGUGCUGCUGGCGCCCGGCCCCCGCGGGGUGCAGCUCUGCGCGUUCUCAUGCUGUCUCUCUCUCUUUCCCUCCGCGCUGCCUCUCCGAGGUCCUCCCGCCGAGCCCCGGCGCGGGGCAUGAGGAGCCCCCGGGUGCCGCCCAGAGACCAGCAGGCUGCGCGCACACCUAGCCAGCGGCAGACGGGGACAUGAGCAGCGCGCACGGGGUCCCGCGCCCGGCGGCCAGCCCUAUCCGGCGGCGGCCAGCGGGUCAACGCUGCCCGGGAGAAUGAGGCAGGAGCCGGCGGCAGCCUCCUUUUUUUCCUUCUCCUCGCCUUCCUGCGGCUCCGGCGCUCCGGGUCCGGGCCGGGCUGCGGCUCUGCUGCGUGCCCCGCGCGCCCCUCAACCGCCUCCGGAUGCGCUUCUCGGUAAGCCAGGCCCUCCGCCUCGCGAACAAAGCUCCCUUCGCAGGGCCCGGAGGCCGCCUCAGGGCCCCUGUCCUACCCUCCUUCCCCACUUACAGCCUGGAAACAUUCGGGGCUUCCGAUUGAAUCGUUCAAUUUCCCCUGCCCCGAAGCCCCGCCUGGAGGCUGAACUGCCCGGGCAGACCUGGUGCUUUCUUCUGCCUUCUGGAGAAAGAUGUGGGUUUGACAUGCAGGCGGGAGACCUGUCUGGUCUAGAUAACGGCAUGUGUAUGCAGCUAGGUUCAGACUUAGCAUUUGGGGGCAACAACUCUUAUUUAGUGGGUGUCCAGGCCGUGCCGGGCAGUGUGCCUCAAAGCCGCUCUGGGAAAUAGGUCCCCGUUUCUCCUUGGCCCAGAUGAGGAAACUGAGGCUUAGAGAGGUUGAAUGACUUAAUCAAGGUCACAAGGUUAGGAAGUGGGAGACCAGGAUUGGAAACCAGGGUACCCUACUUCCCUGCCAGACUGUUCCCUUUGUAACAAACACACCUGUCUCAUUUCUUCUACUAACUGCUUCCGUCUCGAGAGUCAUUGCGUGUGUGUGAAAAUACUUGCUCCAAUGAGUAUCUGUUCUGAUGAAAUAAAUUGCCUGUAGCAAGCACUUUUUGUCCAUCCUGCCAUCACGCUGCUGCCAACCCCUAAUGUGUACUCUACUUUUUAGUUCAGGUGAGAGGAUAAUAUGUUUUCCUAGGUGUUCUCUUUCCUGGGGUUCUGUUUUCCCAGUCCUCCUGAAGGAUGGAAAGGACAGUGGUUCCUCCUGUGUGCCCAGCACAUGCUAGGCCUCAGAACUGCAUCCUUAACCUUUCCCUGGGGGCAGGGCUCAUCAAGGUUACCUGCCCCUGGUUUUGUAAAUCUUGGAGAUGAUUACUUAACCGGAGCGGGGGCUGAUCCCAGAUGGCCACUGUGCAGGGGCUGGCCCAGUGUUGGCUCAUAUUUGCCAGCCCUCAGUGUCAGCAGAACUUCUGAGCCCCAAACACUUCUGAGCCCCAAAGAAAAGGAGUUUUAAUGCAGAUACGAUGCCUGAUGCAUGCCCCCAGUUCUCUGGCUUGCCGCUGUUAGCUGUUUGCUUAAGUGCAUUUAGUUAACUGUUUGCUUAAGUGCAUUUAGUUAACUGUUUGCUUAAGUGCAUUUAGUUCCUGAAGGGGCAAGCCACCUGGAAUCAAUUGAUCCUGGUCUGAGGGGCUUGUUCCAUUGGUGAAGUCACAGUGUUGAGCUCAGUUGUCUACACGUACAUUUGUGUUGGUGCAGAGAAAGUCCCUUAGCAGUAGGGGCCUCUGUGUCUCUGUUAGUAAAGAGCAAGGGUGGACUGACCAGCCCUUCAGACCCCCUUCAGCUAAAUGAUUCUGAGUGACAAAACUAGUAAGUUACAGGCUUGAGCUAGGAUGUCUUAGUCCAGUCAUUUGGACGAACAUUCUACACUGAAUGGGUUGUUGAUUUCCAAGAAGAGGACUUGGUUUCCAGGGAGCUGUGAGAUUCAGGUUCAGCCCAAAAGAGGUGAAGCUCGAGCUGUGCUUAAUAGAUUAUUUACUGGGCUAACACAUAGUGGCUAUAAAAUGUUCCAAGCUACCAGAUUGGGGUUGUGGGAUAGGUUAGGCCUUUCAGUAGGAGAGAUGACAUUAGCUCCUAAGAACUGAUGACAUACAAUGCAUUAAGAAGAUGCCCAGCAGGCUAGAAAGCAGCAAGCUGGUGAGCUUUUCCUGCCCCUCCAAAAAUAAUCAAUCAUAUUUGCAUAGGUAAAACAUUCCCAGCACAAACAAUUACUGCAAAUAAAUAAAGUGAUUUUUUUUUUAGACUCUUCCAACUGCAUUGUUUGCUGAGUAUAUUAGCGAUGCGUGGAGCCGGCCUUAGCUUGGCUGCAGAGGGGCUGGGACAGGGAAGGUGGGCUGAAGGAUGUUCAGACCCUGAGUUAGUUUUUGGCUGUGGAUUAGAGCUAAAUCCAUCACUUUGACCUAUGGGUCGUUAAUGGGGUUGUCAUUGGUCUUUUUAAGAUGUGGAUUAAUGAACCUCUUAAAGUGUUGCCGAAUCCCAAAUGAAACGGGCAUGUCCCACCUUUUUCCCAGAAACUCGGCUCUCAGCGGGUUUUGUGACUGUUUGAAAUUCACAAAACCAGAGCAAAGCUUUCAUUUUUGACAGGCUCAUAGGGAUCUGCAAAGGAAAAAUAAUGCAUCUUAUGUAGGGAUAUUAAUCUCCCAGCAUUGUGUGUUUUAGCUUCUCAUGAUUAACUGGUAAGGUUUUGAAUAAAAAUGAAUGCAGAGAAACAAUCUUCAUUAAGUUGCUUUUGAAAAUGCUGAGGUAAUUAUGAAAUAACGAUUUUUGUGUCAUAGAUCAUACUACUCAUAGCCAAAGCUGGAUUACAUCACAAAACAUUACUCUUGUUACUGAUAUUUAUUUUUUAAUUCAUUAGUUUUCUCAUAUUUUUUGCCUUUUUUCUCCCCGUGUGAAAAUAAGCCAUCGAGAAUAAAUUCUUCCUUUUCAGUUUUUCUUUGUCUUAAAUCCAGUUUUUUUUUUUCUGUAAGAUCUCUAAGCUGAACUCUUCCACACCAUACAUAUAAUGGCCUCAUGUUAAAAUAUGUUUUAAGUGCCUUGGAUUUCUUUUGGGAGAACAAGAGGGUUAUGUAUCGUAAGUAAAUAACAGUGAUGAGACAUUUCCCUUGUUUGCUUACUCUUCUAAGUCAGGGCUUGAGACCAUGCCCUCAUGAUUGCAGCUGCCACACUUAGCAUCAUGGGGACACAGCCUGAGUGCUGUGGCAUUUCUGCAUCAGUGAGGAUGCACACCUGGACUGAUCGGAGUGUGAGGAAAACAACAGCUUCCGUAGGCCAGGAAACCUGGGGUUUAUUCCCGACUCAGUUGUUCAUUGGCUUUGUGGCCUUGGGCAAAUUAUUUCCAUUUGCUGGGUCUGGGUUUACAUAUAUGCAAUGGGUGUGUACGUUUGCAUGUAUAUGUGUGUGUAUUGGUACCAGAUAUUGCCCUCCAAACUCUAAGUUUGAAGAAUCCUCAAAAUUUGGGUAUAGCUGGUUAUUAAUACCUCCAGAAUGCUCUGUACUUUAAGGUUACAUAACGUUCCAAUUAGACAUUCCUAUAAACAAUAAGAAAUUGGUGAUUAUAGAAAAUAUGCUGUUUAUUACCCUAAGUGGAGACUCCGUACCCUGAGUGUGUGAAGGAGGAUGGAGCUUUGAUCCAUCCUGAUUAUGCCGGCUUCCCUAUCAGAGUCCCCUUGCACGGUAGAGGCUCAGCACAAAUCUGAGAGCACUAGAAUGAGCCAUGACCCUCUCUAGGAUCCAUGUGGCAGAAGAUGCAAGAACUAUUAUGUAAUUUGGGUCAAUGGGGUAAGAAGACUAUGACAUUCUAUCUGUGUAGCUUUAGGGUUCAGGGGACUUGGAGAUUCCGCCUCAAUCUCAGGCUGUUCCUGGAAGGUAAGGAAGGGGAAGUAUGUAAUUUGAAAAUGGAGAGUACUUUAGUUAGAGCCUUGAACUCAGCUGAAGCUGGGAAAUGGUGAGGAAGAAGCUUGUCAGUUUGGCAGUGGUAUUUUUUGCCAGGUUUUGUGUGUAGGCUUCCCUUGUAACAUCUAAGGAAGUGUGUUGUCUGAGGUCAGGCUCCCUGGUGAAGCUGCAGUCAUUUUCAGAUAGAGAGGGCAUGAGAAAGGAACCACCAGCCCUUAAACACUUUGUCCUUGCAACUCUGCAAAGUAGACAUUGUGAACCCUGUGUUCUAGAUGAGGAACCCAGGCUCAGAGAGCUGAAGUGUCUUUCUUAGUCUCUAAUAAUUAUCGAAUGGCAGAACCAUGCAAUGUUUUAAAUGGACUCUGCUGGGGUUUAAAUCAACCCGUGCUGGACCUCAUUUCCACUGCUACUGCAGUGUGUCUGUCUGGCAACCAAAUUGUGUCCUUCCUCCCCAAUUUCUAGAUAACCAUGGCACUAAAAAAAGCAUGCAGAUGAUUUGACGUAAGUAGCAUACGGAGGUGAUUUUGCUGUCAAUAAACCUCUAAAUUCACCAGGAUUUUUGUUAAUGCAUUAGAUUUCUUUUAACUACACGAGGUCAAACAUGUCGAUUUCCAAAAAGAUUCCUAAAUAAGCCAAGUGUAACCCUAACAGGGUUAGUGCUGGUGAUUCUUUGGGAAAAGCUAAAAGAAUUCUCCUGGGUCCCACAUUCAUCCCCCUGGGGUUCUGUGGGAGGUGAACACAAACUGAUGUAUGCGACGUCAGUCUGAGGAGUUGUCGCUAGGCUGCUCCUCCUGAAAAAGGGACACAAUAAAAGUUAUGUAACAGCUUUCAAAAGAACUGUUUCUCCUCCUCCAGGAUGCCCAUGAGUUAAUCCUCCCCCAAACAACAGACUAGAGAAGGUAUUCAGAGGAACACAUGUAAGACCUUCACGGUUCACCUACAGCUCUUAGGAGUUUCUGGGACUCGGGAGGAAAUGUAGGUCUCAAGGAACUUUUCACGUUAUCGAGUAGAGAUGCCGUCGUAGCUGAUGUUGGGGACGGCCUUCGGAAGGUCACCCAUGUGAGUAUAGCUGCUGCUGUUCUUCGCUGUAAGUGUGCAGAGCUGGCCAAGCAUCCACCAUUCCCAGGACCAGAGAUUCCAGAGUCCUGUUGGUAACACUCAAUUUACAAAGAGCAAAGGAAAAUCCCUGAAAUACUCUGUCACCCCAUUGCGUGGCUUUACAUUCUGCUAACGAUACUCAGGCUGGGUUUCUUCACCAGCAGUUGAAAAUGCUUCUGUCUCUGACGCUGGCCUUGCCUGUGUCAUGUGAGUGACGUCUUCACCAACAGACCCCUCCUUCCGUCUCCCUUGGAUCACUGAGCUGCUUAUAUGCCAAAAGCUUCAAGUUUGUUGAUAGGUGAUGAGAAAAAUUAGACAGAAUGAGUUAGAAAGCUUGACUAUGCUUCAUCUACAAUCUUUAAAAUACCACAUCUCAGCAGUCAGCACAAGUUUUUGAUUUGGUAAAUGAGGAAUAACAUUGCGUGUCCUCGGUGCGGCCCAUGGAAUCUGCAUCUUCUGCCCCCAGACUUUGAGAGAACAGGUGCCCCAGGGCUUCAGCUCUGGGCUAGAUUUCUAACAUGUGUAGUUACUAAAAAGUAGAAAAUGCAAGAGUAGCUUUGCAGAGUCACCAGAGAGGAUAAGAUAAGAAGACAGAGAAGUUCAUGGCCUCUGAUACGUGAUUACUGCGAACACUUAUUCAGGGCAUGGUAGUAGAAAUGAUUUCACACCCGUUUCCAGCAACGAGAAGCACAAAAUAAAUUCACUAAGAAAUUUAGCUGUGUUUCUUGUUGUUUUUGUAUGUGGCUUAUGACAAGUGCAGAUGGCACUUCAUGUAGUUAAAAACCUUCGCCUUCCUAAGUCCUUCGUGGUGGCUAAGAGAGGCUAGGCUAAAUGCCUUGGCAGACCUGCAUUUUUGAAACCUGACUCCCAAGGUCAGGUGGUGGUCUUGGUGAGGGUCAGUGUAUUUCCAGGUGCUUCUGUUUCUUAAUAAUCUAUGAUGAGCUGCUGUAUGUACCUCAUUUAGCAUCACCAAGCAAAAGAGCAAACAGAGAAUGCCCAGGGCAUUUUUCCCAACCUGCCACAUUUCUCCGCCUCUAUCUGCUAAUAUGGUCUGGGGAUCCUGAUCCACUUCUUGAUUCUUUUAAUUCAGAAAAUGGAUGAUAAUGACAGUCAUUUUUUAAAUGAUCAAUAUUGAUAAGUCUUAUAUUUUUAAAUAAAGUGAAUGCCCCUGAGAGCAUCACGUGCAAGUUUAAAAUGAUUUAUGAAUGGAUACAGUAUCCUUUAACUUGUUCAGAGGGCUUUAUUGAAUACUUCUAAAACAGUACGUCUAUUAUCCUUUAAUUUGUUCAGAGGGCUUUAUUGAAUACUUCUAAAACAGUACGUCCAGUUUUGCAGUGUUCAAGUCUAAAGGUAGACGUGAAAACCACAUCCUGUGUUCUUCAUCUGAAAAGGAGGAGUGGAAAAAUACACCCGACUUCUAAAAGGGAAUGUUGAGACUGUUCCUCUCUGUUUUACUGACAAGAUAACAUUGCUUCGGUCUGAAAAUUCUCUGUAGAUGCAUCUUCUACAGCAGGGCUGGUUGUCCUCCAGUCUGCUCGAGGACAUCCCUGUGGCGGUUGAGAGUGGCUCUGUCCAUCUGUGCAGGCAUGGAGCUGUCUCCUCCACAGAGCAUGCCUCUCUCUGGUCCCGUCUGGUUACUAGGAUCCACCCCCCCAACACACACCAUCAUCCUUUCCUCAGACAGAUGUCAGGGACAACAGUUUAACAAACAGUUAUGGAGCACUAGCUCUGGUCCAGGCACUGCUAGGCAUUGAGGCUGCAGUGGUGGACACAGACAGCUGUAGUGUGUCAUAGGCUGCUACUGUUUCAGUAGGCCUGGGGCGUCACCCUCUGCCCUUUUUAAGGGGUCUGUUCAGAAUCUGGAGGAUUUAGCUGUUGCAUACUUGGAGGCACGCUGGGGCUGGUGGGGAGAGCCCAGGCUGGGAGGCAGGGGGCCUUCUCUCUCCUCUCACCUGGGUGCCUAGGGCCAAGCCACCCCCCCGCCGCCACUCUGACCCUUCACUGGUUUCAAGUGCAAAGAUUGGGUCACUGCAGGUUUUUUCCAAGUGUGAUCCAGGGACCACUUCCAUGGAAACACCAGGUGAGCUUAUUAAAAUGCAUAUGGGUGGACCUUGCUGCAGACUUGCCAAAUUAGAACUCCUGGGGAUGGGGGUGCCCAGAAUCUAUAUUUUUAACAUGCUUCCAGGUCGCUCUCACCUUGAGCACAGUGGUGUUCAAGAAGCACUGGUUCUCCUGGGUGUCGAAUCAGUAAUGCCCCUCCCUGCUCUAAAGGACUCAGAAUGUGGCACUCACCCCCAUGCUGGCCACUCUUCCCACCUUCACCCACCGCCGUGCUGUCCAAGCCAAUCGACUCUCUCUUCACCACGCUUCCCGCUCCUCCUCCUCUGUGCACUACAGUUUGUUUCCCGUAUGGUAGCCAGAGUGAGCCUUUUAAAGGAUCUCAUUUCUCCUUGGCUGGGAGAGCUUCAGUGCCCCCUGUGCCCAAUAGUCAGGGACCUUAAGGUGACCCUCAGGGCCCUGCACGAUCUGGCCCUCCAUCUCACCUCCUCUCCCACCACCUGCCCCCUUGCUUCCCUCUUCAUGUCACAGCCCUAGAACCCACCCAGCUGCCAGGCAUUCACUCCAAGGAGCCACAGGACCUGGGGACUGGCAAGGCAGGGUGCCAGCCCUGGUAGGUGGGGCACAACCCUGUGAAGCUCUGUUUUCUGUCUUGCCACUAUGCUGAAAACCCCUGCAGACUGACACUCUUAAACCCACUUGGGCAAAUCUGUUUCUGGGCCUGCCCACCACCAUAGUAAAAGUAAAUUUAGAAGCAGCUCUUUAAGUCUAGGCACCGUGUUACAGGGUGACUCAUCAUGGGACUGCAUUGUCAAAGUGGCUCUAGAACUUUUUUUCGAGGAAGUUUCUGGAUAUAGACUGCAACCCUCUUGGGCUGGACUAUUAACUCAGCCACUUUUGAUCCCAGGGCCCUGUCAUCCCUCCUUGUCUUCUUUCCACAAGUAUUCACAAGACACCUGCUACGUCCAAACACUGCGGUCCCCACAAUCUGUGUCUGCGUGGUUGUAUCUCCGACUGCCGCUCUUGCUUACAGAUGAAACAAUGUGGUCUGGAAAGUAUUUCUCUGGCCUUUUUUUUUUUCCCUCCUACUGAGAAAUAGUUGCUCUGGCCUGUGUAUCAACAGCAGCCCUCUUGGGGCCUAGGUUAAGCAAACUGCACUCGAAAGGAUCAAUCCCUUGGCAAGUAGGAGGGAAAGAUGGACCAUGUUGUGAGAUUAACCUCCAAGGCGAGCUGAGUGCGUAACUGGAAGAUCUGUGGGGUCUCUCAGAUGGGAUGCGUGCUCAGCGCAUGGGGCCAGGGCUUGGUUUUCUGAAAGCCAGCCUGCCCAGCAGUGCAAAUGAGUGAAAAAGGCCAGGAAAACUUCAGAUGCUUUUGGGUCUGACAUUGCAGAUGCCUUACCUUGAAUCGUAAGGAGGGAAGCAUUUUCACGCUCAGCAUCAAUCUUCUUUGGGAUGCUUUCUCUGGACAUAUUGACCAAGCCUUCACUGAGAGGCCAUUAGCAAAGUGGGGUGGAGGAUGAAAGUAGAGAUGUUCCCUGCCUUUUAUGGUUUCAGAGACAGUUGGGGAAAACGUGUUACGUAACUACCUGUAGCUAAUUAGAGUGACUGACGUGCUCUGAGAAGGCAGAGAUAGGAAAGAUGGGUUUGGCCGGGGGAGGGUGGAGGCGUUUGACUUGAGCCCUGAGAGACGAGAAGGAAUUUCCUGAGCAGAGUUGAGCGGGAAAGGCCUUCUAGGUAGGAGGGCAAGUGUGAGCAGAAGCACAGAGGCCUGUUUAUUGGGGAGAGGGUACUGUGUUAUAGGUCUGUAGAGUCAGGCUGAGGCUGCAAGGCAGGGACAAGGCUGGGUCACUCCUGCUUAGAUGGGAGUGGGUCUUGAAUGCUAGAUUAAGGAGGGUUCCAUGUCUUACAGGAUUUGCAUUAAAAAGAUAGCUGGUAGCCCUGUUCAUGACCCCCUGUACCCUCUAUAUUAUAGGAUAGUGAAGAUGUGUAAAACGUUCAAGAAGAAAUACUGUGUGGGAAUGAGCAUGGUUGUCCCGGGUGUAACCUCAGGCACCAUUUCUCUGAUUGCAGUGUCUCUGCUUGUCUGUAUCUGUUGUCUGAUCCUCUGGGCCCUGCUGCCCAGACCCCAACUCCACCAGCCCUGCUGGGGCUCGGAAGGAAAGCAAGGUAGCCGCUGGCUUCAGCAAUUGCUGCCCAGCCAUCGUGGACUCUAGCCAACAGGAAAUGGAGCGGGCAGUGUCCCAGCCUGAUUCACCGAGCCAUGGGUCUCCCUGUGCCUCUGCAAAUGCAUUCAGGCUGCUCCUGGCCUAAAAACAAUGCUCCCAGACCUACAUCCACAGCUGAGAGAAUCCAGGGCACACAUUUGCCCGCCAGCUUCCCUGAGCUUCCCCCAGCAGUGGGCUCAGUGGGUAGGAGAGGGGGACAUGGUCUGGAAUCAAGGCGUGUGCCACUCAGUGACCAUUUGCUUUGAAAUCAAUGUGCUCAGCAGGGCCAGUGACUUUUGCAGAGCUGGCUGGACAAAGGGAACAUGAAGAAGGGAAGAGUGUCUCAGGGUCACGGGUGGUUAUACUACCCUUGAACUUCACCUUCCUAUUGCUAAGGAAGAGAGAGAGACAGAAAAGCAUGUUCCACAAGCCAGUGGGCAAAUUCUUAGCUGUUUUCUGUGGAGUCUGGGCCUGGCAGAGAGCCCUCUUCACGACUGGCUGACUGCCAGAUGGUGCCAAGGGCACGGCAUCCCGGGCAGUCAGCCUCCUAGUGAAGAUUGCCAUCCUCUGGAGGGUUCCCUGCCCCAGGACAUGGGCCUGGGAAGGGAAUGCAAUUCCACCCUCCAUGGGUCCCAUUUACAGGUCAACAAAUUGAGGCCAAGAGAAGAGAAGUGGAAUUGUGGCCGAGUAGCACAUGAAAUCACUCUGGAGUCGGUCAUGAUCCCUGAGGCCGGCCAAUGCCCAGUGCCCAUUGCUGGCAGCAGUCCACCUGGAAAUGGACAGUUUGUCCUCACACUGCCUUGCUACCCACCAGGCAUGGAGGAUGUGGCUUUCUCCUUGUUCAUCUGUCUUCCCUCUUGGAACCCAGGCCCAGAGCCAGGGGGCUGGGCAUGACCCCUAGAUGUCUGGCCUUUUGUUUGCUUCUUGGUUUCUGAAGCUUGUGUGGAAGUUGAAUGCAAGCAGAGAAAGGAAUUUAGUAGCAAGUUAUCAGAGCAGAUUAGAAUGGUUGUCAGGAUCUGGGCAUGGAAAUCGAUGGGGCUGAGUUCUCUCUUUGGAGCUCUAGGGCUCCUGAAACGCACCAUCAGGUCCUGGGAAAGCCUUUCAUCCUGGUUCUCAGAGCACCUAGUGCACACUUACGUACAUACAUAAGUUUAAGCCAAACCAUCUCAUGAGAUCAUCAUCGCUGGCUCCAUCUCUUUCUUUCAACUGUCUCUUCCCUGGAUCCUCAGUACCUGGGGUGAACCUUGCUUGGCACCUGGAAGUCACUCCUGGCCUGUUAGUGACUGGAUGGGGGAUGCAGUGUGCAAAGGGACUUGUGCAGCGGUCAGUCUGGCUGAGCUUUUGGGGCAGCCUGGUGCUCCUGACUGUUUCUCACCUUAUCAAGUAGGUUCUCCUAAAUGCAUAAGAAGCUGAUGACAGCUCUGCUGGCUGACUUCAAAACAGUCAAACCUUCAGUGCUUUAUCAGGCAGAUCUGUAAGUACAGUUCCUGCUCAUAAAAUGCAUCCGUCACAGCCCCGUGCAACAUAAAGGAAUUGUUUGCAAACUUUCCCAGGUUAUUACCCCCAAACUUAGUAAAUAUAUGUAUUGGAUAAAUAAUCUUGGGAGGUCCAUAAAUUAUUGCAGUUUCGGACAGUACUAAUCUACCUGCUGGCACAUUUCAUAGGUUUCACCACCUUAUUGACUCACAUUUUAAUGAAAGAGGAGAGCAAAGCUAUAAAAACUAUCCUCAUGGGUUGGGGACCCGACCAGAUGAUGGAUGACAAAGCAGUGUAGAAAAUGUAUGAGUUCUGUGUGGUUAUUCAGGGUAAUUAUUAUUAAGACAUUUUGAGCAUCUGACCUCAGUUCCUUUUGUUUUCCUGGGCAAGGACCUACUACCUCCCAGAUUCUGCUGCACUUGGCUGGCGGCACUCUGUGCCUACAAUCUCACCAUUGGAAUGGCAGUUCUUCAACAGGAUUUUGAUGGCUGUCACAGUCACUUUGGGGGACAUGCACCUUUUAUUUGAAGCUGUUCUUCGAGUCAGAUUGUGAGGCACUGGACAGACCUGGAUUGAAAUCUGAGCUUAUCCUCUAAUUCCCUGUGUGAUUCUUGGACAAUUUGCUUCAGCCUUUAUGAGUCCUGUUUUCUCUUCUGAGAAAUGGGCAUAAUAACAACAAUUAAUGGUAAUCCCAGCUUUGAUUAAUAUUUGCUGGGUGCUUACUGGGGUAGGGACCCUGUGCAAUAAGUCCUUUCCGUGGACUCUUUCACUGAAUGUGUACAAUAGCUUGAUAAAGGAGUUAAUUUUAUUAUUCCCAUUUUACAGAUGAAAAUACUAAGCCUUCGAGUAUGUAUUGGUGCAUACAAAAACACCUCAGAUAAUGGUUUUGAACAUGAAUAAUCAUUUAUUUUGCUCAGCUAGGUGGCCUUGCUGCGGGCCUCAUGUGAGGUUGCAGUCAGACUGUGACUGGGGCUGGAAUCAUCUGGGAGGCUUCCUCACUCGCAUGUCUGGCCCCUGAGUGAGAAGGGGUGCACAGCCUGAGGGUGGGAGUGGGGAGGCUGGCACAGCUGAGACUCUCCAUCGCUCUGUGGACGCUCCGUGUGGCUGGGUAGCCAUACUGCCUACCUGUAGUCUAGGGCUCCAUUGACCCAAGAGAGAGCAAGAGGUUGUAGUGCGUGGGGGUGUCUGUCUCUAUCCUCUUUGGUGAUCGAGCCUCAGAAGUCACAUAGUAUCACUUCCGGCAUGUCCUUAGAAGCAAGUCUCUAAGGCCAGCCCAUAUUCGAGGGGAUGGGGGGGGCAGUUAGACUCCAUCCUUUGAUGGGAGGAGUGCCGAAGGAUGCCAGUACGUUUGAAGCCACCACGGAGUGCUUAGGUGACUUACACAAGGUAGACCGUUGCAAGGCAGCAGAGUGGGGUGUCGGAUCCCGAGCAUGGCCGUCACCCCUCUGCAGUGUAAAGUGUGAAGCACUACGGGCCCCGUGAAACGGGACCUCUGUAAGCAUGUGAGCUGUUUCCCCUUCAGAUGUCCUUUCUGAAGAAGGAAGCAGAGCUGUGUGCGAGUCCAGCUGCUGCUUCUCAGCUUCAAAGAGGCCUUUAUACCAACCCUUGGGGCAGACCACCUCCCCUCCCCUCCCCUGCUGUCCCUGGCCUCCCUUCCCUUCACCUGGAGCCACAUUCUCACUUUCUUGGGUCCUGGGCAAUUCUGUUUUCAUGGGCCUCUUCCACCAUAAAAAGAAAAAUUAAAAAUUAUUUCUUAGGACUGAGCUGAUAUAAAGAUGAACAUAUUAAUGUUACAUAUUAAAAGAUUUUCUUCUACCCAGAAGUUCAUUGUUUUCCUUCUGAUUUUAAAUUGGAACAUUUCUGUGGGCCCUGGGCACCGUGCCUGCUGCAUGUGAAGGAGAAGUUGGCUUGCCCUUCCACCUCCACCCCUCACCCCCUCCUCUCCCUCCCCCUCCUCCUCCUCCGCCUCCACUAUUCACUCUUCUGCCCUGGCCACCACUUAGCAGGCUGCUGUCCUCUCCUAGGCUGUGAACUUUCAGGUUCUCUGCACCCUGGGCAAGCCCCGUGACUGGGAGCUGACUGCUCCCCGUAACUCUGGCUUUCCUGUCUCCUGGUCCUUCACCAAGGGUAGACCUCCCUCGUGAGGAGGAACUUAAGCAGAGACUCAUCUUCCCUGUAAGCCCACGGAGCCGUCACCCCUGUCUGGCUUCUGGCUGGUCUCUCAUAGCAGAGUACCGGAAGGGCCUCCCUUCCUGUGCACCUGCAGGGGUGGUGGCAGUGCAGAGAUGGCUGCUCUCCUGGCUCCUGCGUCUGACACCCCAGCCAGCCCAUCCAUCCGUGAAUCCUCCACUCAACCAUUUAGGAAACAGCUUUUUACUGGUGAGCAUUUCACGAGGCCUACCUAGUCUCCUUCCUCAUGGAAUUUAGAGGGACACAAAGACAAAAAAAAAAAAAAAAAACUGACAAAUGAUUCUAAGCAAUGGGAGAUUUUUUUCCCCAAGGGGUGGGGUCUCACUGUGUUGCCCAGGCUGGAAGGCAGUGGCUAUUCACAGGCGCAGUCACUGCACACUACACCCUUGAAUUCCUAGGCUCAAGCACUUCUCCUUUUUUAGCUUCCCAGCAAUGGGAGAUUUUUUUUUAUAAGAAAUUGGCAUUUCAUGGAAAUCGAAGCAAGAAGUGUAGUCUGGCUUCGUGAAGGAGAAAUGAAGCCAUCAGCGACCAGGAUGUUUUCCUUCCUCUCUGUCUGGAGCCCCAGGUCUCACCAUCUUGUACCCUUUGUCUCUAACCUUCCUCUCCAACUUCAGGUUUUUCUUCUCGUCCUCUGAGCAUAUGGCCAAACAAUGGUCACCCCAGUAUGGCAGCCCCAACCCUACAUUUGUGUGGCCUCAAAGCUCACUCCAUCUCCCCGGGGCCUAAUUUCCCAGGAGAGAAGUAGAGUGGCCUGGCUUGGUGAGGAGCCCUCUGCUCUAAACAGCUGUGGCUGGGAGGUGGUGUCACAUGGUAGGGAAAGCUGUCCCUCGAGGCUGUCACUGAGACAGGCUCCCCAGGUAGGGUGUGCAAGAGGGGAGAGAGAAAUAGCACGUUCACUACACCUUUGCCUCAAAACCAAUUCUGGUUUAGGGUGGUGGUUGCCAGCCUUUUGAUGUCCACAGAAGAGGAUAUUUGUUUAGUUGAGAAAUUGGUAUAAGAUUGCCCAAUUUUAAUCUGCCCUCUCUCAUCAGCAUGUGAUAAAUAAUUUAGAAAACAGGAAGACCUUAAUAUUAGAAUCGUGAAAGUAUUUUAAAUUUGUUCAUUAAUCAAAUUAAUCAAAUGUAAUUAAAUUAAUCAGAGUAUUCUUGGUUUUCCCAUUUCACCCCUGACAGCUGAGACUUUGGUCACAGAGCUGAACGGGUCUGUGGGCUUACACCGGGACCCACAGCACUCGGAGUCCUCAGAAAUCAUUGUUAACAACAAUAAUACAACCCAGACAGCAGCAGAAAGAAUCGACCCGUGUCUGGAGCCUGCUGAAGUUGGGGGGCAGGGAAGCGACAUGAUCUAGUCUGUGAUUUAGAAAGAUAGCCCUUCGGCCACGUGGAGGUCGAACUAACAUUCGCAAAUUAGAAAUCUGUGUUGGCAAACACUUUUAAUUAGAGCAAAUGUUUGGCAUAUGCAGACACACUCAAAGUGACUGAUUUCUGAAAGUGCAUCCCCAUUCGGAAGCUAGAGCCAAGGUCCCACCUGCUCGGGGGUUUUCCCUGGAGCUUGAGAGGAACCUUUCACUCACCCACCUCCGAGUCUGAAGACACAGGCUGCCAGCGGUUGUGUUCAUGACGUCAACUUUGACGGUUGAUUCCUUUUUUGGAGAAAACCACUGGCUUUUGGAAUAAUUUUCGCCCUCUCUCCACAAGAGCCCUGCGAUUCAUAUAAGUUCUGUUUAUAAAACCCCUUCGGGGGCACAGGUCAAAUUUAGCAAGUCUGGGAUAGGGCAAGGCUUACUGGCCCAAAAUGGCAGAUGAGGAAAAAGGCUCAGACACCCUCAGGAGCCUGCCCAGGGCCACACGGCUCCUGAGAGAUGGUGCAGGAAUUGGACCAGAGUCUCUGCUGCCAAGUUCAUCUCCCUAUUACUAUACACUCGCUACACAUGCAGUUGGGAAGCUGUUCCUGAUCUUGGCUCUGUUGUCUGUUACGUGUCCUAGCUGGGUGCUUAGUCUUCUAGGGUUGCCAUAACAAUACCAAAAGCUGGGUGGAUUAAGACAACAGAAAUGUAUGGCCUUGUAGUUCUGGAGAUGGGAAGCCUGAAAUCCAAGUGUCAGCAGGGCUGUGCUCCAUCGGAAGGCUCCAGGGCAGGAUCCCUGUCUCCUCCCGGUUGCUGGUGGUUGCCUGCAAUCCUUGGCAUUCUUGCCUGUAGCUGCACCACUCCAGCCUCUGCCCCGUCUUCCCAUGACCUUCUCCCUGUGCAUCUAUUUGUCUGUGUCCAAAUCCUCUAUUUUCCUCUUAUGAAGACAUUAGUCAUUGGGUUUACUCACCCUGACUCAUGUGACCAGAUUUUAACUUAAUUGCAUCAGCAGAGAUGCCAUUUCCAAACAAAGUCACAGGUACUAACAGUUAGGACUUGAGCAUAUCUUUUGGGGGGACACAGGUCCCCUAUGACACUGAGACGCUGCCAGGGGGCCCCUGGUGGACCACACUCAUACCCAGAAGGUUCUGUGCCUGGUCAGUGUUCUCCCAUCCGUGGGUUCUCCUCAAUCCCCUGCUCAGGCCCAUGAGAUGCUUCCAGUAGGGGCUGUGCUCAUGAGUCCCUCUGCCAGGAGGGACAUGAAGUCAGCUGCUGCCAGCCUGUGGACGGAUUGUGCCGCUUUCGCAUCUGUCUGAGAUGCUGCAAGUGCGUGGCCUCAGUGAGUGGGUGGCAGUGCGAGCACAUUGUGUGUUCCGGGGAGCCGGGCCACCUCCGGCUGGAUGUGUCGCCUUCCUCAGGGCUCCUGGCAGCACCUGGUGCAUUACUGGGUCAGGGUAUCAUUUUGACCUCAGGGUGGCUGAGGAAGCUAUGUUUGGGGAAGUGGCAUGGAGCUUAGACAUUCGAGCUGGCCUGAUUCUUUUUCCCCACCAGAUGACAAGCGUCUCUAGGGCAGGGAUGCCUGGCCAUCUCCAUUUCCCCUCCAGCAGUUUCAGGCUCAUGGGAGCUGCCAUGUUUCUGCAGCUUUAGUCCCACAUUGCUGUGACCCUGUGAGGCUCCCCUGGGCAAGUCUUCACUCUCUGAGCACCAUGCAGGGCUGCUGUGGGGUUCCAUGAGAUGAUGCAUUUUAAAACCAUGCACGACUUGAAAUGCCCGCAGCUCUCAUUAUCUGGGAGAUGCCUCAGGACAAAGUGGCAGGACCUGAUUGAAGAAUAGGGUUGAAGACAGCACCUCGAUAUGUCUGGCGGUGCAGGGAUAGGUGGCCAUGUAACCCCAGUGGGAGCCACUUAUAGGAAAAGGUGGUAGAUUUGGGCAAGGAGGUGGCCCCUCUGAAAACCUGUUGCAGUUUCAAGUGAAUUUCUGAAGACGCGUCAAGUUUUAGAUCUACUGAGUCUGCAGUGACCAUGGCCAAUGGGAUGGGAAAAUUUUCUCACUAGAGGAGACCAGAGAGAGGGAACACGGACUCUCCAGAGAGUUUCGUGAGGGUCCCUGCCAAGGACUAGUGGAAACCCAAGCAGUUGGGGACAGGGAUAGUGGGAGAGGUGGGAGGCCACCUGGGAUCUUGGAAAAGAGGAAGCUUCCUUUUUGCAGCAUGGGAGGCAGCCUGGGAAAGUUAGGGUUGCAGGAUGGGAAUCCAGGGUUUCAGGAGGCAGGAACCUGGAGCAACCUGACUGGGCAGUGCUGUCAGCAGACCCAAGAAUACUGACUGGCCUGUGAAGGAAAAGUUUGCUGCAAAGUGGAAUCGAAAGUGACCAGGGGCCAACAGGGAAGGGGCCGCCCUCACUCCUUAUGGCUCUAAGGGGUUGGGUCUGUUCUCAGGUUCUGCGUGUGUCCCUGAUUCCUGAAGCUACCUGGAUGCUCCCUGAGAGCAGGAGCUGCUUCUGAAAGACCAUGGAUCCCCCCCACCCCACUCCCCAUCAAGCAGCCAGCAGAGUGCCAGGGGCAUAGCAGGUGCUCAUUUAACAAAAAUAGACAAGACCCGUUGCCAGAGACAGCUUUUGCUCAAGUGCUGGAGUUCUCAACCCAGCUGUCUAUGAGAAUAACCUUCCCAGGAGCAUUUGAAAAAUGCUCAUGCCCAGGCUCCUCACUUUGUAUUAAUGAUGCAGUUGGUCUGAGCUGGAGCCUGGCACCAGGCAUUUUCAAAGCUGCUCAUGGACACUGCAUUGUUAAGGUUCACCACCAGCUCCGAAUUGUGGCUGCACUAUGUGGGCACAUGCCCGGUCUUUCUGGGCCUGUUCAGUCAUUUGCAAAUAGCCUUGCAGAAAUGUACAUGGUGGGUCCAGUGUGUGCCUGGCACCCAGAGCCACUCUGGCUAAUGCUGAUUCAAAGUCGCAAGACGAUUUUGCCCUGUUUUGGUGGAUAGCUCCCCUGUGGAGAUGACUGCUCAGGGAAACUGGCAGAUUUCCAGAAGAGGGAAGAGGAGCAGCCAUUGCUGAUUGGAUCAUCCAAGCUGGGUUAGCGUCUGGCUUCGAGCACUGGUUUAAGGUGAGCAUUAAGGUCCCGUGGGAUGUUGAGAGUGUUUGAGGAGAAAGAACACAUCUCCUUGGUCUAGAUCUCCUUUCAAUGAAAAAUGCCAUUUUGUCAGAAAUUCCCCUCUUUUGGGAUCAGGCAGUGCAUUUGAUGUUAACGAGCUCUCAUUGAACACACGCUAUGUGCUGCAUUUGUGCAAGGGCUUGGGGACCCCCUAAAUGAAUUAGACAAAUUAGACAGUCAUGCCCUGUUGGAGCCCAGUGGCUUUUGGGUCCCCGUUCCCCAGGCACCUUAACCCAGGACAGCCACACUAGCAGGAGGAGGGCGGGGAGGGAGAGAUUCACACGUGAGGAUCAGGAUUUGCGAACUUGCGGAAGAGUGUGGUUUGCGGGGCCCCUGGCAACAGUCCUGCUUGUCGAAACACUUUUUUCUUGGUGUAAACUGUUCCCAAUCGAUUGAGAAAGAAGAUUUGGAACCAGGCCCAUGACCUUCUGCAGGUGCUGAGCUGUAGGUCUAUAGAUUGUUGGAAUGUUACAUAAAACAAAAAGCCCCUAAGGCCAUGCCUGGAAGAGCAAGCUCUCCCACAGGUCAGCCUCCUUCUCUGCAUAUUGCACAGCUUCAAGAGAUCUUAAAAGAAAGGACUCUUUUAAGCAAGGGUCAGAUGGGAUUGGGAUGACGCACAGGGAAGGUGUAGAUGCGGUUGCAGUGAAGGAGAGAGUGAGGACCCAGAGACCUCCUGUCCUCAGCCACAGGUGGCUUCCUCUUGGAGUCCACAGCAUGUGCAUAUUGGUGCAGGGCACUGCGGGAUGGAGUGUUCAUCCCAGCCACACGUUCCUGCUGGGCACCACCUCUCUCCUGACGAUAGGUUGGAGCUGAGGGCACAGAAAUGGCCAAGGCAGGGAGUCAAGCCAGACAGCCAGCAUCUCCAGAGAAUAGUGACAGAUGUUGUCUGCCAGGUAAGUGCAGGAAGUGCAGAACCUGCCUUGAAGCUGGACGAGGGUCAUACAAGGUGUCCCAGAGAGGGGACAUCUGAGCUGCAUCUUAAAGGAAGAGUAGCAGUUAGCUAUGUGCAGAAGGGCAGUCCAGGCAGGAAGAACAGAUGUGUCUAACCCAGGAGGAGAGCAUGGGCCAGCGGGAAGGGCAGGAAGCUAGGACUGGGCAAGAUAGAAAGAUCUGCCUGCUGGUUUGAUAGAGUGAGGGAAGUGUGGGGCCCUGUUUUAGCUCCGUAGCCAAAGACCUGAGUUCCAGCAAAUCACACAUGUGUGCAUGUUGUUAGAGUGUGUGUGGUGCGUGUGUGUAUGUGUGGGUGUGCAUGCAUAGGAGGAAAGGGAGCGGAGAGUUGUCAAAUGAGGCAAGCCAAAACCCAGGCAGUGGGAUGGUCAUGUUAGCAUCUGUUUUACAAGGGAGUUCCCGACGCAUCCUCCAGGAUCAUGGUUCGCUCAGCCUCACAUUGCUACAAAGUGGGAAUUUUACCAAUGAUUUAAAGCCCUUCCAAGGGCUUCCAGGGUCUCUGAUCUUCCUGGCAUAGCUCUCUGGCAUCUUCCUCACCCCCAGCACCCUAUGCACCAGACCUUGGGAAGGUGUUUCCGGCCCAUUUUUUUCUUGCUUUGAACCACAGCACGUGCUGUUGCCCCCACUGGAACACUCUCCCGCUUCUCUUCCUCCUUCAGAUCUCAGCCCGCUGUCGCCUUCUCUCUGACCCUGGUCCCUUCCACUGCAGGCUGUUGCUCCGGUGUCUCUGGGCUGCUCCACCACGUGGUGCCUGCCCAUCAUGGCAUCCACCACCAGGUGGCCUUUUUCUUGGUAAGUUCCUUACAAAGCAACAUGCUUUGUGCACCUCUCAAAUCUUCAACACCUAGCGUGGUACCUGGCCCCAGGUGGGCACUUGGUCGCAUAUUUGUUAAAUUAUUGAAUCCUUGAGAAAGCCCAAGCUCAGCAAGGUUAAAAAAACGUUUCUGCCAGUGAGUAAUAGAGUGGAUAUUCAAACCGGCCUUCUCGCUGGCCCCACUCCUGUGCACCUCUCACUGCACCUACCCACCUGCUGCCUUUCCUACCGAUCUCAACGAUUAUGCAGUGAGCUGUGGAAGAAAUGGGGCUCAGAGUCCGGUCUUCUAGAAGGUGGGCACUGGAGUGAGCCAGGCAGGGUGUCAGGGUGUCAGUGUUCAAGCUCAAUGGGGAAACUGAGGUAGAACCCCAGAAAUAGAGAUUGGGCUGUUCCAGCUAAGUAGCGGCAGUGCACAGGCAUGACCCUGUACCCACUGGAGACUUCAUUUGUGGCAUCAAGGCUCACUGCAGCCCCACCUCCUGGGACAAAGCACCUCCUGCCCUGUUUUGUGUGGAAUAAAGCUGGGACUUCCAUGAAGGGACUGGGCUGGGUGAGGGGCAAGCCAGAAGCUGCACCACACCCUCUGGAACUCUAGAGGCCAUUCCAAGCCUCACUUGUUUUUCUUUUCGCAAAAGUGGAAGCAGAAAGCCUCUGCUCUGUUUGCCUUACUCUGCAAAUAAAAAUGGAAUCAGGAGAGUAGUAGUUUGAAUCCCACUUGCAAGCAGUUUGUAAGAAGUGCCCAGGUGCCCCAAAAGGUGGAAACAUUUAUUUUCCAUUUGUAAAAAAUAACACUUUGUUAUGUUGAUAUCAUGCGGCAGCAGAGUACUCUGCAGUUUGCAGCUUGGGAAUGCAAAGGGCAGGGUCUCCUUGCAGGCCUGGCUCUGGGAAGCCUCCUCACCACAGCCCUCCAUAUUUUCCAUGACACUCUCCAGCUCCCAGAGCGUGCUGCCUUGCCUGCUUAGCAGGCUCUAAAAUCGUACUUUACAGUUUAUGCCAUGAUUCGGGCUUGCGUUGGAAUUUGUUCCUUCAAAUAGCUCUGGCAUAUGUUUUUAUUUCACAGUAAAACCGUUUUUAAAAGUUAACACAUGCACAUUGUCACAAAUCAAAUUGUAUAGGCAAGUAUAUCAUAAAAGCCCUGAUACAUCCUGAAUGCUUGCUUUGUGCCAGGCACUGUUCUGGGGAUGUUUUUCCUAUAAACUCAUUUAAUCCUCGUCAGAACUUUGUCCCCACUUUGUGUGAUCCAGGAUUUGCAUCCAGACAGUGCAUUGAUCGUCUUUGAGCCCCAGUCAUGGACUUCCUGAUGUGGAAGAGGAAUCCACUGCCGUACUAGUGGCUCUUUCUCCUCCUCUCAGUUUCAUCUGUGCUUGUUAAAGUGCUUCUCUCUGUUACUUUUCAAUCUUUAGAUACAUUUUUCUCCAGCACCCUUGCACAGUGUGUCUGUCUCCUUAUUUCAUAAGGUGAGGUUGUUAAUCCAUAUUGUUCCUUUUGUCUUUCCUCUCAAGCUUCGGUGCCACCCACCUGCUACUUUCAGGCUGACAUUCCUUCAAGGUUGCUGAAGCUUGCAUCCCAUCCUGAAUGCUCUAGCGUAUGCAUUGUCCAUAGUUUGACUCUGAAUGUUGAGAACAGUAGGUGACAUUGCUAUAAUUAUUGCUGCAUCAGAAGUGGCUAAUGCUGGGUUAACUCAUGCACUGGGAUGACCUUUUCUUCUCUGGAGAUCAAUGCCAGAACCCCUAGACCACUCAAAGCAGAAUGGCCUGGAACAGACUUGAGUGGGUUCUCCCGCCUACACAAUGUCAUUUGCUUGGAAGCAUGCCAUAUUGUAGUUUGCUUCAUCUUUGGAUCAUCACUUUAUUGCACAGGAUAUUUUUUCUGGGAUUUCUGGUUGCCUUUCUUUUUUUCUUCUUGCUUUCUAUGCCUUUUUCAUACUCUCCCUUUUUUCAUACCGCCUGUUCCAUUGAGCCUUUCCCCAUUGUUUUUCUGUUUUGUUUUGUUUCUUCUGGAGAGCUAACCCCUCUCAGGAUGCUCUCCCCUCCUCUACCCAGGGUACUGCAUCCUCUCCAGGGCUGCUGCCCCCAGGUCAUCUUGGGCUCACCGUCAUUGCUUUCCUGGGUUGGAGGCUCUGUUUGCUUAAGUUACCUCCUAAGAAAAGGUACAUGGAAAGUAAAGUGUCUGAAAAUGUCUGUAUUUUAUGCUCACACUGAAGGUCGAUUUCCAGGUUCUAGAUCAUUUGCCUUCAGAAUUUUGAAGACUUUAGAGUUUUCCUUGUUGCUGAUGAGAAGUCCGAUGCCUGGUUCUUUGUAGAUUAUUUAUUCUCUAUUUGUCUUGUCCAGAAGAUUAUAAGAAUUCUUCUUCAUUCAUGGGGUUCAUGUAUUACAUGAGGAUAGUCUCCAGGGUGGGUCUUCAUUUAUUCAUUGUUCUGGAUGCCCAGUGGCCCCCUUUCAUCUGAAAGCCCACGUCCUUCAGCUCUGGGAGAUUCUAAUGGAACUGAUUGUUUUAAAACCUUCAUUUGUUUUCCAUUCUCCAUAUCUGAGCCUCUUACUUGUCAGCUCUAAAAUCUUCCAGAAAGGGAUUAUAUUCUUCUACAUUUUUCUCAUUUCUUUGCC